GGACCCCUGUGAUGUCCAGCACUGGGCUCUGACCAUCCUGAGGACAUGGUGCCCCCAGGUACCUUUGACACCCUGGGGUCUGAGGGGCCC
ensembl:snoRNA